GGAGUGGGCAGCAGAUGCCUGCUGGGCACCUCCCCUGGAUGUCCACAGACACUGCAGGCUUAACACGCCCCAGCCCCCCUCCCUGCUGCCUUCCUGCCCUUCCUACCGUGGCCACUACACUUGCCUUCCUAACCUGCUGCCACCAGAUCCUGUCUGCCUUCAGAAAUGUCUCUGAAUCUGACCCGUCUUUCUCUCCUCAGGGACGCUCACCUUGACCUUUCAUCAUCUCUUGCCCAGAUGCCCACUGACCCAGCCUCCCUGCUCAGCCCCCCACUGCUGUGCUGCCAUAGUUACCACCCUUUCCCCAGGGCCCUGGGAUGCCUGGGCAGGAGGCAACUAGGUUCUUUGUCUCUCUCCACUCACACCCUUGUGCGCUGUUCUGAUUUCCCAGCACUCCUCUGUCUGAGUUGUGCACAGUACAGCACUGUGCUGUCUCCUUACACUGCUGCUCAGUCCUUAGACUAGGGAGCUCCCCUUCUUAUUCCCAGAGCCUCUCUCCUAUCUCUGCUUUAGCUUAUAACAUUUAUGCUAAUAGCCCGUUACCUAAUCAGCCUCCUGUUCUGACUGGACUGAGUGUUCUUAGAGGACAGAGAGUGAUUUGCUCACCUGUACCCACCCCUCAAUACCUCACACUGGCUCUGGUACACAGUAGGCACUCAAUGUGUGUUUGUUGACUUGAAGUAUUAUAAAAGCUCUAGAAGAUUCAGACUAGGCCACUUGAGUACCUACAUCCGGUGUUAGAAGAGCCCUUCAGCUGCUCUUUCCCACCAUUGCUUCAGAGGAGUCUGAAACCAACCCCUCUGGCCAUGCCGCCCCUCUGUCUACAUGGAGCCUGGAUGCAGAGGCAGAAGCCUUGCAAGUCAUCAAAUACUUAUUGAGCGCCUACCAUGUGCAAGGCAUGUGGUGGCAGUGGCGGCCAUUCUCUCCCACCAACACCUAGUUGGACAGAAGUGGUGUUGUCUCAAGUCAGGUCUUUUUCUUCAAGUUGCAGUAGCUGCUUAACACCAUUUGUCCUGUGCUUGGGAAAGUGUGAUGUGUUUAUACUUUUUAUUACAGUAACAGUAAUGCCAUGCAAAAGUGCAGGUGCAGUGGGUCCACGUGUGCAGGUGCAGUCAGGUGCAGUGGGUCCACGUGUGCAGGUGCAGUGGGUCCACAUGUACAGGUGCAGUCAGGUGCAGUGGGUCCACGUGUGCAGGUGCAGUGGGUCCACGUGUGCAGGUGCAGUCAGGUGCAGUGGGUCCACAUGUGCAGGUGCAGUGGGUCCACGUGUGCAGGUGCAGUCAGGUGUAGUGGGUCCACAUGUGCAGGUGCAGUGGGUCCACAUGUACAGGUGCAGUCAGGUGCAGUAGGUCCACGUGUGCAGGUGCAGUAAGGUGCAGUGGGUCCACAUGUGCAGGUGCAGUGGGUCCACGUGUGCAGGUGCAGUGGGUCCACGUGUGCAGGUGCAGUGGGUUCAUGUGUGCAGACGCAGUGGGUUCACAUGUGCAGGUGCAGUGGGUCCAUGUGUGCAGGUGCAGUGACUAACCGUGAACAGAGUGGUACCCUCCAGAGGCACCUCUCACAUGAGGAUUUGGGUGGGUGCAAUGUGUCCUAGAUUCCUCUCAGAGCCCACAGCACAGGGCCUCAGCCACGUAUCACUGCUGCAUGUGCCCACCGAGCCCACUGCUCUAGCCUCGUGUGGGCUGUUUGCUUGCACUGUUAGAUCCAAGGAAUCCCCACCAACCCAGAAACCUUUUUUUUUUUUUGCUUUUUCUAUGUGCAGUGUAUAUCAAUCACUCUUGUUGACUCAGUUUAAGUGCAGCAGGCUGUCAUUUUGAAUAAGCUCAUAGAGCUGUUGAGUUUCCUUGGUCCAUUAGACUAUUAUGGAUUGGAGAAAUGGUGUUGUUAUGAAGAUGACAUCAUUAGCCCUCCAGGUCCUGCUGAACCGUCUUACAGACAUACAUUUGUUUACUGUUAGGGUCAGAGCCUCCCCACAGCUCACUGCCUGCCUCCUUCUCGGUCUUAUCUGAGAUAAUUCUUGCAGAGACAGGUGUAGCAUGUGUGUAACCCUGUAGGAAUGCAGGUGGCGUUAUGUGAAUGGGUUCAUUUUCUGCAUACUUU